AGAGUUUGAUCCUGGCUCAGGACGAACGCUGGCGGCGUGCCUAAUACAUGCAAGUCGAGCGAGCAGAACCAGCAGAUUUACUUCGGUAAUGACGCUGGGGACGCGAGCGGCGGAUGGGUGAGUAACACGUGGGGAACCUGCCUCAUAGUCUGGGAUACCACUUGGAAACAGGUGCUAAUACCGGAUAAGAAAGCAGAUCGCAUGAUCAGCUUAUAAAAGGCGGCGUAAGCUGUCGCUAUGGGAUGGCCCCGCGGUGCAUUAGCUAGUUGGUAAGGUAACGGCUUACCAAGGCGAUGAUGCAUAGCCGAGUUGAGAGACUGAUCGGCCACAUUGGGACUGAGACACGGCCCAAACUCCUACGGGAGGCAGCAGUAGGGAAUCUUCCACAAUGGACGCAAGUCUGAUGGAGCAACGCCGCGUGAGUGAAGAAGGUUUUCGGAUCGUAAGCUCUGUUGUUGGUGAAGAAGGAUAGAGGUAGUAACUGGCCUUUAUUUGACGGUAAUCAACCAGAAAGUCACGGCUAACUACGUGCCAGCAGCCGCGGU
rnacentral:rRNA from 1 species